UCGAAUCAUUUGAAUCGAAGGUCAAAGUACCCCAAAAAAAAAACUUUGAAAUUCGAAGUUUUUUUUAUAUUCGAAUCCUUCACUCAAGCUUAGUAAAUGUGCCCCUUAGUGUUAUUAAAGGGGUUAGUGAGGGUUUCCCUGCAUCAGUCCCAUACAGCAGCAUUACUCAUUAAUACUUCCUUAUUGGCAGCCACGUUCUACACAGUAGAAGUAGCCACGCAACAAAUCCACUAUUUUAGGGUUUCGGCCGAAUCCUUUAUGAAAGUCUUUGCCAAAUAGUGAACCGAAUCCUCGUUUACAUAUGUAAAUUAGGGAAACGUGGGGGGGAAAAAAGAACCGUGUACAGUAAAAAAAAAAAAAAGAAUUCCGACUUCCUCGUCCAUCAUGAAAAGUCGCGUGAUUUUUUUUUUUUUGUAUCCAAUUUGGUUCUUUCAGGCACUUUGAUUCGGCCGAAUCCUUCUGAGAAAGACUGAAUCUUGGACAAAUCCUGGUAUAUAAGUGCUUUUAAUUAUAAGUAUAAGUGCUUUUAAUUUCUUUAAAUCACUGGACGCCCAUAAAUGGUGGCUGGAAACGGUUUAGCUGAAGCUGGGCGGGCUCACUUUUGUUAAAUCAUGAUGUCAUUGCAAGUGUAGUUAGCUGGGCGGGCUCACUUUUGUUAAAUCAUGAUGUCAUAUCAAGUGUAGUUAGCUGGGCGGGCUCACUUUUGUCAAAUCAUGAUGUCAUUGCAAGUGUAGUUAGCUGGGCGGGCUCACUUUUGUCAAAUCAUGAUGUCAUUGCAAGUGUAGUUAGCUGGGCGGGCUCACUUUUGUUAAAUCAUGAUGUCAUUGCAAGUGUAGUUAGCUGGGCGGGCUCACUUUUGUCAAAUCAUGAUGUCAUUGCAAGUGUAGUUAACUGGGCGGGCUCACUUUUGUCAAAUCAUGAUGUCAUUGCAACAGUGUAAGUUUGGCAAACUAUGACAUCACUGGUUUAAGUUGCAUUUACUGUUUGCAGUGGAGUCUUGUUGGGGGGCAAUGUCCAUUAUCUCCAGGUCUCCAGUGAAAAGGGCGGCCAUGUCCAGCUUGGAGAGAGUUUGCAGCAGUGCUAAAUGUUGCCUUGGACGUGCAGUUACUCAAAGAUGAUGUACAGAAACAGAAAUGUUUAGGGUCAGAAGUCGGCUGAUAAAUGAUGGAGUUGAUCACGGUGGAUAUAUCCGGCCCCUUGUAGACCUUCUAGAUCAGUUGUGGUCCAGACCCCUUUCCUACCCCGAGGCAAUAUCUUGGCUACAGAACCAUGGAAGGAGAAGUUCUUUUAGAUCACUAAGUGGCAGGUAUCAACUCUAGAGAAGCCCCUACUUACGGACUCUGGUUCCGAUUAUGUUCUAAUUGAGCUCCAUCGAUCAACUUCUUUAUUCAUGAGAAACGUCUACGAUAGAACAGGCCAGAAAGCAAAGAACUUCUUAAAGCACUUACUGCGCAUAAUUAGGAGCAUUUCUAUGAAGAAUCCUGCUCUAUUGUAGGGCCGGAGCUCCGUCCAUGUUCUUUCUCAGUUGGCCGCCGAGCUUGUUGUGAUUAAGCCGAUAGAAGAUAACGACAUCCCAGAAUUCCAGUCUCGCCAGUGAGUGAAUGUUUUGCAGCGCAGGUGUAAAGCUUGGACAGUGUUAUACACAUCUAUUCUGUAUUAUAUAUAAAUACUGUGUGAGGACUUGGACUUAUUGACCUAUAGUGGAUGAACUCCUCGGUGGCAAAGGAAAUGAUUGGGGAAACCUGUUUUUGUGCUUUAAUUUCCAUUUACAAAAACAUCAAACAGGAUGGACCUUCUCUGGUUAAUAGGGAUUCAGGUCUCGUGCAUCAAACAGGUAGAACCUUCUCUUGUUAUUGGGUGAAAUUAAUCCAAUUCAGAUAUCAUGCAUCAAACAGGUAGAACCUUCACUUGUUAAAGGAUGAAUAUUCAUCAGUUCUCGUACAUCAAACAGGUAGAACCGUCUCUUGUUAUUGGGUGAAAUUAUCAGAUUCAGAUCUCAUGCAUCAGAUAGAACCUUCACUUGUUAAAGGAUGAGUAUUCAUCAGUUCUCAUAGGGAUUCAGGCCUCAUGCAUCAAACAGGUAGAACCUUCUCUUGUUAUUGGGUGAAAUUAAUCCGAUUCAGAUCUCAUGCAUCAAACAGGUAGAACCUUCUCUUGUUAUUGGGUGAAAUUAAUCCGAUUCAGAUCUCAUGCAUCAAACAGGUAGAACCUUCUCUUGUUAUUGGUUGAAACAAGUAGACCCAUCUCACUCAUCAAAUAGACAGAAUUGUAUUUCGUUAAUGGUUGAUACCUAUCAGGUCUCGUACAUGAAACCGUAUACUUGUAGUGGAACUUGAGUUCUCUGGGGGCAUUUGGGUCAGUGUCAGACAUUUUAUUCCUCCUGAAUGAAUAACCGUAGCCUUAAGAUUAGUUAUUUGCUACAGUGUUUGUCAUUGGACAGGUUAGCGCCACUCGAUUAUUACAGAACCUGCAGAGCAUCACUAAACAGAUUAAAUAAAAAAAAUAAAAUUAAAAACAAAAAAAAAAAAACAAAUUUAUAUCAAACCACAAAUGUAUCACGGGCUUGUAUUACCAUGUUCUUAUAAAGACUGUCUGUGAAUUUAAGAAAUAAAUAGAAUUUUUACUCUAAAAUGGUGACAUUUUACUUGUAAUAAACUUUUUUUUUUUUC